rnacentral:lncRNA from 1 species
AACUCAUAAACCCCCUUUUUUCCCCAGAUGCUCUGUUCUGGGGAGUUAGGGCUUUAUUUAUGAAUUUGUCUUGUGCUGCUGCCUUUAUUUUUAGGGCUGUCCUGCCCAGCAAGGAGGCAGCCUAGUCACUGUCUGCCUGCAGAGGCUUUGCUGAGCUGCUGUGGGCUCCACACUGCUGCUGCGUGAACUUCCCUGCAGUCCUGUUAAUAUGGGUAUGGUUAGAACUGCCUCGGCAAUGGUAGCCCACCUCUGUAAUGGCGGAUUCUCUCUGUAAUGGCAGGUUGCCUCAGCAACGGCGGGCUGCCUCAGCAAUGACGGACUACCUCCGUUGAGGUGCAAUGCCUUGGUAAUGGUGGAUGCCCCUCCCCCACAGAGCUGGACCAUCCUGGGUUCAGCUGUGCUUGCCGUGAAACUCUCAACCCAGAGCAUUUCCAAUUGCUGUUUUUAAUUAUUUAUUUAUUUGUGUGUAGGGGUGGGACCUGCCGAGCCUGAUCACCUGGCCCCCUGCCUCAGAGCCUUUUUUUUUUUUAAAGCUGAAUGGUUGACUCUCUCCAAGGUGUUCCAAUCGCCUGCUGAAAAGGUGUCAGGAUCUGUGUGAUUACCCGUGUGGUGAUCCACUGCACCAGGUAAAACAACAGCGCUGGGAUUCAUGGCGCUUUUUUGCUUGAGAAUCUCCAGGCCUGGCUCCCUGUUUCAGUCCCUUGUUUAAUCAGAUAAAUGGGUGACUCUGCCUUCCCAGAGCUUCCAUCGCCAGCUUAAAAGGGCAACCAGACCAGUGUAUUUUGUACAGGGAACCACAACACUGGGGUGCCGGCAAAACAGCUGCGCCAGACAAAACAGCUGUGCUGGCAACCCGAGAGGCUCCUCCACCUGGGAAUCUUCUGGUCUGUGGGCAAUAAAGAUCCUUCUGGAAAUACGGCAUCCACUCACCCUCUGCCCUUUCACUGGGAGCUGCAAUCCUGGGCUGCUCCUAAAUGGCCAUCUUGGAUUUAUGUCCACUCAGAGACCCAAUCUAAAAAUGAGCAAAAUUAAUAAACAUAUGGUAUAUCUGGAAAAAAUGACAAUGCGAAUAGCAGGCAAUGAGUUUGUUUUAGUAAAACACAAAAGUUCUUGCAAACUGACAAGGAAAAUGACAAAAUA